CGGACGGGUGAGUAACGCGUGGGUAACCUUCCUUGUACUGGGGGACAACAGUUAGAAAUGACUGCUAAUACCGCAUAAGCGCACAGUAUCGCAUGAUACAGUGUGAAAAACUCCGGUGGUACAAGAUGGACCCGCGUCUGAUUAGCUAGUUGGUAAGGUAACGGCUUACCAAGGCGACGAUCAGUAGCCGACCUGAGAGGGUGACCGGCCACAUUGGGACUGAGACACGGUCCAG
rnacentral:rRNA from 1 species